rnacentral:rRNA from 1 species
CAACCUGCCGUCUACUCUUGGACAGCCUUCUGAAAGGAAGAUUAAUACAAGAUGGCAUCAUGAGUUCACAUGUUCACAUGAUUAAAGGUAUUCCGGUAGACGAUGGGGAUGCGUUCCAUUAGAUAGUAGGCGGGGUAACGGCCCACCUAGUCUUCGAUGGAUAGGGGUUCUGAGAGGAAGGUCCCCCACAUUGGAACUGAGACACGGUCCAAACUCCUACGGGAGGCAGCAGUGAGGAAUAUUGGUCAAUGGGCGCAGGCCUGAACCAGCCAAGUAGCGUGAAGGAUGACUGCCCUAUGGGUUGUAAACUUCUUUUAUAAAGGAAUAAAGUCGGGUAUGUAUACCCGUUUGCAUGUACUUUAUGAAUAAGGAUCGGCUAACUCCGUGCCAGCAGCCGCGGUAAUACGGAGGAUCCGAGCGUUAUCCGGAUUUAUUGGGUUUAAAGGGAGCGUAGGUGGACAGUUAAGUCAGUUGUGAAAGUUUGCGGCUCAACCGUAAAAUUGCAGUUGAUACUGGCUGUCUUGAGUACAGUAGAGGUGGGCGGAAUUCGUGGUGUAGCGGUGAAAUGCUUAGAUAUCACGAAGAACUCCGAUUG